GUGGGGAAUCUUGCGCAAUGGGCGAAAGCCUGACGCAGCCAUGCCGCGUGAAUGAUGAAGGUCUUAGGAUUGUAAAAUUCUUUCACCGGGGACGAUAAUGACGGUACCCGGAGAAGAAGCUCCGGCUAACUUCGUGCCAGCAGCCGCGGUAAUACGAAGGGGGCUAGCGUUGCUCGGAAUUACUGGGCGUAAAGGGCGCGUAGGCGGACAGUUUAGUCAGAGGUGAAAGCCCAGGGCUCAACCUUGGAAUUGCCUUUGAUACUGGCUGUCUUGAGUACGGGGGAGGUGGGUGGAACUCCGAGUGUAGAGGUGAAAUUCGUAGAUAUUCGGAAGAACACCAGUGGCGAAGGCGACUCACUGGCCCGUUACUGACGCUGAGGCGCGAAAGCGUGGGGAGCAAACAGGAUUAGAAACCCGUGUAGUCC
rnacentral:rRNA from 1 species